rnacentral:rRNA from 1 species
CCUACGGGAGGCAGCAGUGGGGGAUAUUGCACAAUGGGGGAAACCCUGAUGCAGCGACGCCGCGUGAGGGAAGACGGCCUUCGGGUUGUAAACCUCUGUCGCAGGGGACGAAGGAAGUGACGGUACCCUGUGAGGAAGCCACGGCUAACUACGGGCCAGCAGCCGCGGUAAUACGUAGGUGGAGUGCGUUGGCCGGAUUGACUGGGUGUAAAGGGAGCGGAGGCGGGAGUGCAAGUUGAAUGUAUAAACUAUCGGCUCAACUGAUAGAAGCGUUCAAAACGGCACUUCUUGAGUGAAGUAGAGGCAGGCGGACUUCCUAGGGUAGCGGCGAAAUGCGUAGAUAUUAGGAGGAACACCAGUGGCGACGGCGGCCUGCUGGGCUUUAACUGCCGCUGAGGCUCGACAGCGUGGGUAGCAAACAGGAUUAGAUACCCGGGUAGUC